UCCCAGGUGGCUCAGUGGUAAAGAAUCUGCCUGCGAUGCAGCAGACGCGGGUUCGAUCCCUGGGUUGGGAA
rnacentral:tRNA from 1 species